rnacentral:misc_RNA from 1 species
GUAGCAUUAUGUGCUGCACGUUCUUCUUCAGCUCUUCGCUCUGCAGAGGCCAGCUCCUCCCUAAGUGCCUGCAUCAUCCUUGUCUCUGUUAGUUCUCUGUUUCUCAUAAUAGACUCCAUGUUUGCCUGCAUUGAAGCCAGAUUUCCUUCAGACAAAGUAGCCUGUUUCUUGAGUGUGUCCAUAGAGUUAACAAGGGCCUCAAUUUCAGAAUUUUUUGCAGCCAAAGCCUCAGCCAUAUUUGACUCUACUCUUGUCAUUUCACUUUUAGAUGUAGACAAAUUUUGCUGUAGCUGCUUUAUACGAGCCUCAUAUGAUCUACUCAGCUCCCUCUCUGCAAUGAGAAGUUCCUCCAGCUGUGCAUUUUCAGAUUUGUAUUCUUGAAGGCG